rnacentral:misc_RNA from 1 species
GAUGAAGAACGUAGCGAAAUGCGAUAAGUAAUGUGAAUUGCAGAAUUCAGUGAAUCAUCGAAUCUUUGAACGCGCAUUGCGACCCUUGGUAUUCCGAGGGGCAUGCCUGUUCGAGCGUCAUUAUAACCCCUCAAGCUCAGCUUGGUGUUGGGGCCUGCUGCACUGGCAGCCCUUAAAAUCAGUGGCGGCGCCAUCUGGCUCUAAGCGUAGUAAUUCUUCUCGCUAUGGAGUCCUGGUGGAUGCUUGCCAUCAACCCCCAAUUUUUCUAUGGUUGACCUCGGAUCAGGUAGGGAUACCCGCUGAACUUAAGCAUAUCAAUAAGCGGAGGA